CUCUCCAUCCUCCCUUGUCUCCCCAUCCUUCCUCUCCUCCUCCUCCUUCAUCUCCCCAUCUUUCCUCUCCUCCUCCCUCAUCUCCCCCUCUCCCCCUCAUCUCCUUCAUCCUCCUCCUCCAUCUCCUUCACUCAUUUCCUCCUCCCUCCCCCUCCUCCCUCAUUUCUCUCAUCUCCUCCUCCUCUUCCUUCCAUUGUUAUCAUUUUCUUUCUUUCUUUAUAUAAUUUUGUUGUAAAGGAUUAUUUUUUUAUUUUUUAUUUCUUGGUAGACAUUCCUGAGAAUACAUUAAGCCAGGAAUGCCAGAACAUAAUCUGAUGUAAGAAAGGAAAUUGUACACUACACUUAAUCAGAACGAAAUUACCAUAAUUAAAAGGGAGGAACCAUGUUACAAAGUUGAGAAACUAAGCCGCCAAGAGGCAGAAACUCCUCUGGUGCAUAAUCCAAGUCUGCAAACCCAAUGUUAACCAUCUUACCAAUAUAACUGGCGUUCAUAAGAAUAAUUCAUUCUGUCAUAAGGCCUGGAAUUUUGGUGGAGAGUGCUAGUCAUUUGCAAAACCCCCUGUGCGUAACUGGUACGUAUUAUCUAUUGACCCUGAAAGGAUGAAAGGCAAAGUCAACCUUGGUGGAAUUUGAACUCAGAACUUAGCGACAGAUGAAUGUCUUUGUGGCUUCUUGGUUUGGCAAAAUACCAACAGAAGUACCAAACCAAAAGUCAUAAGUUCUUGUGUCGGUUUGCAUGACUAAUGUAUGUAUAUAUAUAUAUAUAUAUAUAUGUAUACAUAUAUAUAUAUAUAUAUAUAUAUAUAUAUUAUAUAUAUAUAUAUAUAUAUAUAUAUAUGUAUGUAUAUAUAUAUAUGUAUGUAUAUAUAUAUAUAUAUAUGUAUGUAUAUAUAUAUAUAUAUAUAUAUGUAUAUAUAUAAUAUAUAUAUAUAUAUAUAUAUAUAUAUAUAUAUAUAUAUAUAUAUAUAUAUAUAUAUAUAUAUAUAUAUGUAUACACUACAACCACCACACACACACACAUCACUAUUAUGAUUCACACAACAAUAUAUAUAUAUAUAUUAUAUAUAUAUAUAUAUAUAUAUAUAUAUAUGUAUACAUAUAUAUAUAUAUGUAUACAUAUAUAUAUAUAUGUAUACAUAUAUAUAUAUAUAUGUAUACAUAUAUAUAUACAUAUAUAUGUAUACAUAUAUAUAUACAUAUAUAUAUAUAUAUGUAUACAUAUAUAUAUAUAUUUAUGUAUACAUAUAUAUGUAUAUUUAUGUAUACAUAUAUAUGUAUAUAUAUAUACAUAUAUGCUGAGACUCCUGUGGUCAUGACUGACCAUGGGAUUGCACCUAGAAAGUUACCUUCCGAGGCACAAGUCUGGGCAAGGUUGUUUAUGGAAGACCAGCAGUUGCCCAUGCAUACCGGCCUCCCCACUCCAUGCCAUUGAUGUUAUCCAAGGAAAAGGCAAAGGGGCUGAUACAUCUUGGCACCAGUGAUGUCGCAACUCAUUUCUACAGCUGAGUGAAGUGGAGCAAUGUGAAAUAAAGUGUUUUGCUCAAAAACACAACACACAGCUCAGUUUGGGAUUUGAACUCACAACCUCACGAUUGUAAGCUCGACACUCUAACCACUGAGCCAUGUGCCUUCACAUUAUAUACAUAUAUAUAUAUGUGGGGGGGGGGGGUGUAUAAAUAUAUGUGUGUGUGUGUGUGUGCAUGUGUGUAACACAAGCAUAAUAAGAAAAAAAUCAGUGAACAAUAAUAUUGCCUUACCUCUGCUAGAUCAGCAAAAGUAAUGUUCUGUGUAAGUGUGUGUGUGUGUAUGUGUGUGCGUGUGUGUGUGUGUGUUUGUGUAUCAAAGGUAGAACAGAAAAAACACAAGAAAUGGAAACCGUCAAAACACAACAUGUGGAGAAAAGGAGGAUAGCACAACAAUGGCAAACAGGACAAAACAAGAUACACGGAUCAUUCACAGCCAAUUGCCUCUUCAGUUGGAGUCUGAAAUGUCUAUGUAGUUUUGACCACUUAUCUCUAAUGCUAUGCGAAACCUGCUGGGCCAGGGACUUAAGCUAAAAUCAUUAAGGCUCUGGGCAAAACAAACGAAUGUACAUAUACGAAAACAAAUAAGUAAACAACAGAAAGGGUCUUUUGAGUAUCAAAUGAAUGUAACAUAAGAAAUCGAAUUACGCAUAUACAAUGGGCAAACACCUUUCAGUUAUACAAUGAAAUGAAAAUAAUGGUAGGAAGCUGGAGCAAGGAAAAUCGAAAUGGAAAAAUCUUAACAGACCAGGUGGCAGGACAGGAUAGAACAGACGUGACCGACCUCGAAGGCAGCCAACCAAAAAAAGGAUAACAAAGCCUGAAAUGGACAGCAAUCCCAUGGCAGUGGAGGGGAGGAGUUGAAGAGGGCAGAGGGUAUACGGGAGAGGGGAGAGGGGAAUAGUUUAAAGAUCCAACCGAAGUAGAAUCCACAAAAAAGAAUGUGCUCCAAACUGUGAGAGACAAUUAUCAAUUUAAAUACACAACCAAAAGAACUAAUAAUAGUUUAAUGCUUCUGUGAUACUUGAUCAGGCGUGUUAACAUGUAUCAGGUGUGUGUAUCCAUUACAUAAGACCUUCCUCACUUAAAAUAUUUUUCUAACGAUUUGCCAUAGUUUUUUUUUAUAUUUGACUCAAGUUCAAAAUUCUGAUAUUACACACUGCUUCUUAGCAUAACACAGAAUACACACACUCUCUUUCUCUGUCUCUCUCUCUCUCUGUCUUUCACACACACACAUACACACACACUUAUGAAUUCCUCAUUAUUUUUACCAAUAUUCUUGUUUCUUAGAAUUAGUCUUUCAUUAGGUUUCCCUGUAGAUCUGUAAUUCAUACAGCAUGCAGCAUGUUCUAUGCCUGCUUCAUUUCAUGACACGGAUUAAAAAUUAAUUUGAUGCUCUGAGAAAGGGCAAUGUUCAUAACAUUUAGUAGGGUAUAUAUAUAUGAGAGACUGGAAAGGAAAGCAAGGGUUGGUAGAAACCCAAGUACCAUCUCAGUAUCAGAAAGAACAGUGCAAAGAGAUAUUGAAUUACAGAACUAAAGAGACUGCGUCUGAAUUCUUGCAGCAACAGACUGGCCUUUUGCAAGAGGUUCUCAAAGAACAGAUGGGAGUAGGAAACUGGCUGAGGUGCAGCUAGUCUGAUGACGUUUCCCCUUUGCAGUUUCCUUCUUUCCAUGUACAGUAGAACCUCACAGUACAAGUGCCCCAUUGUACGAAUGAGUAAUUUACUGUACGAGCCGAGACUCGUGCAAAUUUUUAUCUUGAAGUAUGGGCGGAAAUCCAGAGUACGAGCACACAAAUCGAACCAUCUUUAAGGUAAUUCAGUUAAUAAAACCAGUUUGCAUAUUUCUUUUGCAUUCUCUUUUUUAUAAUUGUCAUUUCACUUAUAACUACACUUUUUCUUGUUUAAAACCCAUGGAAAUCUAUUUUUGAGUAGUUUUUUGGGGCAGGAAAGGAUUAAUUAUAUUUUAGUUAAUUUCAAUGGCGAAAAUUAAUUUGUAAAAUGAGUAAAUCGUAAGACAAGCUGAGUCAUGGAACGAAUUAAACUUGUACUGCGAAGUAUCACUGUAUUUCUAAUUCACUCUUAGAAUUAGAUUAGAAAAUUAUUGCGCCAUUUGCUGUGCAUUGGGAUUAAGACUAGUUAUGUAAUUGUGGAAUAAGAUUUUUAACCACACGGCCAUGCUUGCACUCUGUGUGUAUAUGUUUGCACACUGUGUGUGUAAUUAAAAAGCACAUUUGUUUCCCGACCACAUGAGUUUGGGUUCAGUCCCAUGCCUGAUACCUUGGGCAAGUGUCUUCUACUAAAGCCCUGGGGUCAAUAAAGCCUUUGUGCGUGCGUGUGUGUGAUAAUGAUCAUGAUCAUCAUCAUCAUUGCUGGCUUGGGUUGGGUGGGUAGACAGGAACUGGCAAGUGGCAGGAUGGCCCCAAGCUCUAUUGUCUGCUAGGACUCACCCUUGGAUGCCCUUCCUAAUACCAACCACUUCACUGAAUGUACUUUUUACAUGGCACAUCCAUGUAUGUGUGUACAUACACACACUCAGAUGGACAUGAACAUGUAUAUAAUAUAUAGGUAUAUGUUGUGUAUAUACAAACACAUAUGCACACACACACACAUGAACACACAGACACAUACUGCCAUGCAAUGCAUACUUAUGUAUAUAUACAAGCAUACAUACACACAUGUACACAUAUAUGAAGAUACAUACAUGCAUGUAUGUAUAUGUAUAUAUAUAUAUAUAUAUAUAUAUAUAUAUAUGUACAAAUUGAGAUAGAGAUUGUAAAUGCAACCCUCUAUGGGAUAACGUAUAUCCAAUAUACUGCUAGUGAAGUACCCAACAAAGUUAAUACAUAAAUGUUAAUGAUUGCGAUGCAAUCAAUUCAUUUACUGUAUUAUAUGGUCAAAGGUAAAAUGAUUUACCACAAAUUACUAAUACAAGAUAAGAAAAUGGAGAAAUACAUCUGAAUCAAAUAUCAAUUACCAGAUAAUACUCAAUCCCAUACUUUAAUAAACCACCACAUAAGAGACUGUAGGGUUAAAUAUUAAAAGCAGAACAAAUCAGUGUACAUAAAGGAAUGUACAUAAAAAAGUGUACAUAAAAGAGUAAUGUUGUAUAAUAAUUAGAAUAUAUAUAAAAAAGAAUAUAAAUACAAGUAAAUAUAAAUAUAAGUAUAAAUUAGAUCUUACAGCUGUUUCGGCCAUGUCGAUAAUUAUGUCUCAUUUUACCAAUAUUAGCCCUUUAUGGUUGGUCAAUAUAUAGAGACAUUAACAAAAAUAUCACAAAGCCUCUUCGGAGAUUAUGUAAUAUAACAGUCUACACAUAUACCCCCAUGGGUGUGGGUGCGUACACACAAUACAACAUAUAUAUAUACAUAUGAGUGCAUAUACUCACACUCCUAUACAUUUACAUAAUGAUAUAAAUAAAUAAUAUAAAUUAGUAAACAUAUAUAUGUGUUCCACACCCAAUGUCUCAGUUUUUCAACUUAAUAUUGUGAUAUUAAACAUACACAAAUUAAUACCUAGAUGUAAAUAUACAUAGUCAAUAGUACAUUAUAUUACUUCAUAAUAGUUUCCAAAGUGUCAUUAAAGUUAGUAUCAUUAUCGUUGUCAAUACAAUUAAUGUUAUCAUUGUUAUCAUUCAUAAUAUUAUUAAUAACUCUUACAUUAUGAUCCAGAGCAGAAUAUAUGUAUGUCCGUGUUCCAGUUAAUAAUUUUCCUUAUGGCAUAAAUAUACUAUUGGAUUUGAAUUUAAAAUUAUUAUUAUCUUCCUCACAGUUAGUCAAUUGAGAACCGCCCGACCUCCACCAACCUUACAAGCAAAACAUACACAUCCACAUCUAACCCUAAACCCAUACAUCCACACAGAGACUCACACACACAUGUACACACACAUGAAUACACCCCGACACAUCUCUACAAUAAAUUGGAGAGUGCAUGUCUGUCAUCGUAUUGCUUAUAGACAUAUCAGUACAGGCAGCAGUGUCUAACACUAACACGCACAUCCGCAUAUACGCAUAAAUAUUAAUACACUUUCCUAUACUGUGUCAGGGAACUUUCGCACACACAUAUAUAUAUAUAUUUUUAAAUAUAUAUCUGCGCACUCAUACGUACAAAUAAAACCCAUAUUUAUAUCUACCCAUGAAUGAAUAUUCGCACAUACAUAUAUACACAUCCAAGCAUGCACCUGCGUGCUUAUAUAUGUAAUAAAAACAUACAUCCGUACAUCCACCCACGAUCAUACCUAUAUGUACAAAAACAUAUAUACUUACACAUACACAUUUUCACACACCUACAGAGGUUACUAUUAAUUUAGAAUAAGUUUAUUAAUUAUAGGUUAAAUUAAUUAUAGAUUAGUAAGUACCAAAUAAACAAAAAUAAAAUAAUUAAAUAAAUAAAUAUGAAUAUAUAUAUACAUACACACACAUAUAUAUAUAUAUAUAUAUAUAUAUAUAUAUAUAUAUAUAUACACAUACACAUAUCCAUGUAUAGAUAAAUAGAUAAAUAAAAUAGAAUACAAAUUAAGGAGGGCAUAAAGAUAAACCUAAUAUAGUGAGUAUAAAAAUAAAAGAAAAAAAAAGGGAAUCCCACAUUAUAUGCUCAUCGAAAUAAACAACUUAUAGUAAUUAUAGACUCUUACAUAUUACAUAUUGGUAUAUUAAAAACUCAAACUAGUGCCCUAAGAUAUGAUGCACCUAUACAUCUUACACCUAUAGUAUUAUCUGGUAAUUGAUAUUUGAUUCAGAUGUAUUUCUCCAUUUUCUUAUCUUGUAUAUAUAUAUAUAUUUCUGUGUGAGUUAGAGGUUGGGAAACCAACCAACUAAGGGAUAGAAGCCUAGAGGCACAUUCAUCUUCCAAACUUUAUCUGGCCAUCCCUACAGAACACUGAAGAGAUGGAAAUGGCUUUGAGAAUUUCUUUGCCUCUUGGCAGAAACGGCCGUAAGGAACUAGCACCUACUGACAAUCUGAUCAUUUGCUCUUUUCUAUAAGAUUAGUACAUGUGUGUGUAACAUAGUUAUUAUAUGUGUAUGUAUUCUUCUAAUACAUUCUAUUACUUUUGAAUAAAUAGACAUACUAGAAUGUUUAUCGGCUGAUGUAUGUCAUUCUUGCAUCCUCUCCAUUUUCUUAUUUGCCUAUAUAUAUAUAUAUAUAUAUAUAUAUAUAUAUAUAUAUAUAUAUAUAUAUGUAUGUAUGUAUAUAUGAUUGCUAUUUUAUUAAACUGUUGUACGUCCAAAAUUGGCCAAAUGCAUUUUUUAAAAUAUUUAUUUCUGCUUGCAAUAGCUGGUUCUUUUGAUCAAACUAUCGUAUCUCCAGGUGCUUCAGAUGCCAAGAUAUCAGAAAUUGUCAAAGUGUAGUAGAACGGUUUUGCUAUGAAAACUAUUUUUCCAUUCUCUGAAAAAGCAACAUUUUGGACUUAUGACACUUUUGCAUAAUAACAUCAGUGUACAUACACACACACAUACAUAUAUAUAUAUAUAUAUAUAUAUAUAUAUAUAUAUAUAUAUAUAUAUACAUACGAUGGGUUUCAUUCAGUUUCCGUCUACUAAAUCCACUCACAAGGCUUUGGUCAGCCUAAAGCUAUAGUCAAAGACAUGAUUCUUGUCCGAGGAGCCAUGUAAUGGAAAUUGGCCCAGAACCAUAUUUUAUUUAAUUGAUGCUGGAAGGAUGAAAGGCAAAGUUGACCAUGUCUGGAUUUGAACUCACUUUGCAAAGAUUUAGAAUUAAUACCACCAGGUAUUGUGCCUGGUUUCCAAAUUAUUCUGCCAGUACACCACAACAUGAAGUGCUAUUUCAAAUAUAGGCACCACACCUGAAAUUUUGGAGAUAGGGAACAGUUAGGGAUAUCAGUCUCAAUGCUCAACUGAUCCUUUAAUAUACUUACCCCUAAAAAGCAUAAAGCAAAGUUAACCUUGGUGGGAUUUGAAAUAAGAACUUAAAAGAAUGUAACUAAAUACCACAAGGCAUUUUAGUUGACACUCUAACAGUUUUACCAACUCACUAAUAAUUAUUACAUCGACCCUAGUGUUCAACUGGUACUUAUUCUAUCAACCCCGAAAGGAUGAAAGGCAAAGUCAACCUUGGUGGAAUUUGAGCUCAGAAUGUGAAGACAGAUGAAAUGCCGCUAAGCAUUUCACCUGGCGUACUAACGAUUCUGCCAGCUCAUCACCUUUAUUUAGCUAAAUAUCGAUUUGAACGUUUUGCACAAGGCCAGUAAUUUCAGGGGUGGAGUAAGUCAAUUACAUUAACCCCCAGGUACUUAUUUUAUCGACCCCGAAAGGAUAAAUGGCAAAGUUGACCUUGGCAGAAUUUGAACUCAGAAUGUAGUGACAGGCAAAACACCACUAAGUAUUUUGUCAAGUGCUCUAGCGAUUCUGCCAGCUCGCUGCCUUUCACCAACUCCCUAGUAAUAACAAUCCUUUAUAAUAUAAGGCACAAGGCCUGAAAUUUUAGAGAACGGGUCUAAUUAAUUACAUUGAACCCAGUACUUGAUUUGCCCUUAUUUAAAUUGUUCUCCCAAAAGGAUGAAAAUGAAGGGCAAAGCUGACCUCAGUGGAAUUUGAACUCUGAAUGUAAAGAUGGACAAAAUGUGAAGCAUUUUGCCCAGCAUUCUAAUGUUUCUGUCAGCUUGCUGCCUUAUAUAAUAAUAAUAAUAAUAAUCCUUUCUACUAUAGGCACACAGUCUGAAAUUUUGGGGUAAAGGUGUUAGUUGGUUACAUUGACCCCAGUGCAUAACUGCUAUGUAUUUUAUUGACCUCCAAAACGGAUGGAAAGCAAACUUAACCUCGGCAGAAUUUGAACUCAGAAUGUAAUGACAGAUGAAACACCACUAAGCAUUUUGUCCAGUGUGCUAACGACUCUGCCAGCUCACCACCUUAUAAAUAAUAAUAAUAAUAAUAAUAAUAAUAAUAAUAAUAAUAAUAAUAAUAAUAAUGAUAAUAAUGAUAAUAAUAAUAAUAAUAAUAAUAAUAAUAAUAAUAAUAAUAAUAAUGAUGAUGAUGAUAAUUAUAAUCAUAUCUUUAUAGAUUGUCUAAAGGCCCUUUAGGGACAAUAAUGAGACUUUUCUUCUAUUUUAAUCUUGCUGAAAUAUGUAAAAGAACAAUGUGACUGAGAGUGAUCAAGUGUCUCCAAGUUAUUAGUGAGUUAAUUUUAGCGCUGUAAUUACCAGUGACCUUUGACCUCAACCUAUUGUGCUGAUGCGUUAGACUAACCUUGUUAUCUCAUUUUGUUUUUAAAAAGAGGGAGAGAGAGUUAGGGGUUGAGCACCUCUGUUUUUAAUUAAAAACAACUUAAUUUCUUGAUUCAGUGUUUGCCAGCACGUUGUCAUCGUUAUUGUAGUGUUCAUCUUCGUUAUCAUUGUAGUCAUCAUCACCAUCAUCAUUGUAGUCAUCAUCAUCAUCGUCGUUGUCAUCCUCAUCACAAUUAACAUCAUCAUCAUUGUCAUCAUCAUCACCAAUAUCAUCAUCAUCAUCAGUGCAUUGAUUACUAUGGUUCUAGACACCCUGUAUUGAAUCCUUUAACUGCAAAAUUAAUUUUCAUCGUUAUUCCAGUGACGAUGUUAGAUAUCUAUCAAAAUAAACAAAACAAACAAAAUUUUAAUAGAAUUGGUAUUAUCUACAAGUCACCUGGUGUGUUUACAUCACCAUAACUUAGCGGUUCGACAAAAGAGACUAAUAGAAUAAUAGAAAAAAAAAAAUUAAUGUACUGGGGUUGAUUCAAUCAGCUGAAAAUUCUUCAAGGUGGUGCCCCAGCAUGGCCACAGUCUAAUUACUGAAACAAAUAAGACAUAAAAAAUAUAGAGUAAAGCAAAAAAAAAGGGAAGGACUCUCCUCACAUCCUUUCUUUCUUUCUCUGAUUAAACUGUGAAACAACAACAUCAACAACAACAGCAGCAGCAGUAGUAGCAGCAGACUAUGAACUAGCAAUAGAAUUUAUUCUAUCUUUCUUAUCGUUGUAGUAACAGAAAGAUGAAAUUCCAUGAGUAAUGGUUGGCUGGUUGGUUGGUGGCCGGAUGGGUGGGUGUAUGGAUGGAUGGAUGGAAGGAUGCAGUGGGAGCAGCUUUGGUAUAUAUAUAUUUUUGAUGAACAGAUCUACUACUACUACUACUACUACUACUUCUGCUGUUGUGUAUCAGUAAACUUACUCACUGAACUCCGGCACUCCUCUACAUAAAUUUAUAUCCCCCCACUUUAUGAACAGACGAAAGCCUCUUUACAUAUAAUAUUUGUGCACACACACACAUGUACACAUGUACGUAUGUGUGUGUGUGUAUAUAUAUAUAUAUAUAUAUAUAUAUAUAUAUAUAUAUAUAUAUAUAUAUAUAUGUUUAUGUAUACAUGUAUAUGUGUGUGUGUUUAUAUAUAUGGUUAUAUAUGUGUGUGUGUUUAUAUAUUCAUAAUGUGUACUGUUACAUUAUUAGUAGCAUCAACAAGAAAAGUACUCCAUCCAGUGAGAUAUAAAUAUCAUUAAAUAUACACAGCAUUAGACUGUUAGCUAAUAUUAGUUUCAUGUCUCUGAAAAUACAAUGGUCAGACAAGCUUGUACAGCAUGAUGUGUAUUUUGAGCAGCAUGAAACUAACGCGGACUUCACAUUUUGGCACAAGGCCAAUAAAUCCGUGAGAAGGUGGGGUCAGUUGAUUAAAUCAAUACCAAGACUCAGUUGCUACUUAUUUUAUUGUACCUGAGAGGAUGAGAGGAGAAAAAUUGAUGUUGGUGGAAUUUGAACUCUAAACAUAAAGAUGGAGGAAAUGCUGUUGAACAUUUUGCCCAGCCUGCUAACGAUUCUGCCAGCUCCCAUGCAUUAAACUUUGUAUUUCUUUGUAUUUUAAUCCUGUCUAUGUAUGUUUGUUUGAAGUCACGUGGCUUAGUGGUUAGGGCAAUUGGCUCACAGGCGUAAGGUCGUGAGUUCAAUUUCCAGCAGCGUGGUUUGGUGUUGCUCUAGUCCACUCAGCUGGCGAAAAUAAGUAGUACCUGUAUUUCAACAGGCCUGAGAACUACGUUAUGGAUAUACAUGUCUAUGGAGUGCUCAGUCACUUGCUCAUUGAUUUCACAAGCAAGCUGUUCCAUUGAUUGUACCAGCUGGAACCCUUGUUAUCAUAACCAACAGAGUGCUCCUUAAAUGAAAGUAUGUAUGUAUGUGUGUGUAUGUAUAUAUGUAAGUAUGAACAUAUCUAUGUAUGUGUGUGUGUGCAUGUAUGUGUAUGUAUGUAUGCAUGUAUGCAUGUGUGGGCGUUUGUGUGUGUAUGUAUAUAUAUGUAUGCAUGCAUGUGUGGGUGUAUGUGUGUGUAUGUAUGUAUGUAUGCAUGCAUGUGUGGGUGUAUGUGUGUGUCUAUGUAUGUAUGUAUGUAUGUAAGGUCAUAUAUAUAUAGUCAAAAAGGCAAUAUAUAUGUAUAUAUAUAUAUAUAUAUAUAUAUAUAUAUAUAUAUGUGUGUGUGUGUGUGUGUGUAAUACAUCUGUUGUUGCUGAAGUGCCAAUCUCACGUCUAACAACACCAUGUCACCCACUCUGAUCAAUAGCAGACUAUUUUCCAGUAGCCAUCGUAGACUUCCUGUAUCUCUUCAUCUCGUUAUCUGCACCUGAAUGAGCUACAUUUCUACAAGAACCCUGUGAUGGAGUGGAAUCAAGCUGUUUUAAAUAUUAAUACAUAUGCACUUCACCUGCCGUCCGAAUCGACAUUCUCCUAUUUCUGUCCAACUUCCGGUCAGUUAUUUUCUGACCAUGUAAAGACACAAGUGCUUUUCUACAAGUCAUUUGCUCCUUUCUCCGUUUCCUCUUCUCUUGACUUUUCCAUCUUUCCAAUGAAGAGCCAUGCUCGAAAUGUCGUCAUUCCUUCUCCCACUUUUUCCAUCUAAAACUUUUCUCUGAGCAUCAAUCUGUUAUAUUUAUUGUGUUUGUCUAACUCACUUUUGUUGUUUUCCCUUGUUGUUUUUUCCUGUUUUUAUAUAUCCUAUAUAGGAUAAAAUUUUCAAAAAAUUUGAUCAGUGACCAGCCUAUUAAAAAAUACCUUUUAAUAUGCUGGCCACUGAUAAACAUUCUUGAAAAUUUUAUCCUAUAUUAGAUGUAAAUUUAUUACCAUUCACUUCUGGACUGUCCCUUACUCUACUUACUCCACAAGAAUUUUCAGUCUGAUCACACAUGUCUUGAGGUAUACUGCAAAAAUUUCUAUUUGGAUAUAUUUGGGGUACUUAAGUAUACACAUGACUUUGCAUCAGCUUGUUCCAUGUGUGCAAGUAAGUAUUUCAUUUAUCUCUUAGCGUAUUUACUGUUGAUGCCGAGAAGAUUCUUUAUGAAUUACUUCAGAAAUAAGACCAAUUCGGUAAUAAUAGAAUUUUUUAUAAAUUUCUGUCAGCUUGCUUUGAGACAUGUGGUUAUAGUGAUGAAUUAUAUGUGGUUCUUGAUGAUUUAAAGUCUAUUCUUGAAAUAUUUGACAUUAUUUGUAAGUUAUAUAUAUAUACAUACACACACACAUGCAUACAAUGAGGUACUGAAAAGUUCCUGGCUUUGGGUACGAUUAGAUAAUUAUGAUUUUAUUCAACAUAUUCCCUUCUCAGAUUCACAUGCUUAUUGCAGCGGUCCUUCAGUUUUCUUAAGCCAUGGAAAAGAACCUUGAAGGUUGGGCCUCCAACUAGACCUUUCAUGAUACCCUUCACGCCAAGAACUUUUCGGAACUCUUCAUGUAUGUAUAUAUGUAUGUAUGUGUGUGUGUGUAUGUGUGUGUUUAUGUAUACACACACACACACAUCCACACAUAUUCAUCAUUCUUCUUACUAAGAAAAACUAUUAACGACUUUCUUUUUUUCUUUUUUCUAAUUCCAGGCUUGGCACUAAUUUAGCAAUAUUUUGUCUGUUGCUAAGAACCGAGAAAGAACUUUCCUCUUGUUGCUGUUUGCACACCUGGCGGCUUGCUACCUAUCUGGUUCAAUGUUACCGAUUCUUCUGUUAUUACUUUACAACGAGGAUAAUAAUAACAAUAAUAAUAAUAAUAACAACAACAACAACUAUAAAAACACCAGAAGCAACGUGGCAUAUUUACCAAAGGAACGUACUUACCUUUCAGACAUGGAUCUUCUAAGUAACCUUCAUUCACCUGUGAAAUAACAGCUUAAGGAUUGCAAUUUCUACUUUUUCGUUUUUCUUUUUCUCUAUAUCCAUCCACACACUUAAACACUCACACACAUAUACACACAUACACAAAAGCAUCAGGCAUUCCCAUACAUACACACACAUACACUAUAUAUGAAUAUAUAAUACAUUUAUAUAAAAUAUUAUAUAUAAUAUAUAUAUAAAAUAUACACUCACACAUAUACACACACACACACACACACACACAU
rnacentral:lncRNA from 1 species